rnacentral:rRNA from 1 species
UACGUAGGCAGCGAGCGUUGUUCGGAGUUACUGGGCGUAAAGCGUGCGUAGGCGGUUGUCUAAGUCUGGUGUGAAAUCUCCCGGCUCAACUGGGAGGGUGCGCCGGAAACUGGAUGACUGGAGUGCCGGAGAGGUAAGCGGAAUUCCUGGUGUAGCGGUGAAAUGCGUAGAGAUCAGGAGGAACACCUGUGGUGUAGACAGCUUACUGGACGGUGACUGACGCUGAGGCGCGAAAGCGUGGGGAGCGAACAGG